ACUCUUCCUAAGCGGCGGUCGUUCGCUUAUAUUGCCUCUGCCGCCCUCGUGGCGGCUAUGGCGAUAAACGGCGUCGAAAUAAGCUUUUCGGACCCGGGGGCGGUACCCGGCGCCUCCACCCGAGCGCAUUGGUCGCAGUGCUGCGCGAGCAGCGGAUCGGUGCGCUCCGGCGGGGGCGAAAUAGGUUCGACGGGAAGUGUAAAGGACGAUCUUUUGCCCGGCAUUGUACCGCCGUUAUCGGGCUAAACUUAUAGUUGCCAACGACAACUAUGCUCCGGUGGCCCUCGCCGCGUAAUGCGGUGACGGU
rnacentral:tmRNA from 1 species